CACAAUCACAUCAUGAUAUGCUA
rnacentral:siRNA from 1 species